UGGGAUGACGUCAAAUCAUCAUGCCCCUUAUGACCUGGCUACACACGUGCUACAAUGGUUGGUACAACGAGUUGCGAGUCGGUGACGGCGAGCUAAUCUCUUAAAGCCAAUCUCAGUUCGGAUUGUAGGCUGCAACUCGCCUACAUGAAGUCGGAAUCGCUAGUAAUCGCGGAUCAGCACGCCGCGGUGAAUACGUUCCCGGGCCUU
rnacentral:rRNA from 1 species